rnacentral:rRNA from 1 species
ACUCCUACGGGAGGCAGCAGUGGGAAUAUUGCACAAUGGGGAAACCCGUAGCAUGCAGCCAUGCCGCGUGUGUGAAGAAGGCCUUCGGGUUGUAAAGCACUUUCAGUCGUGAGGAAAGGGUUGUAGUUAAUACCUGCAAUCUGUGACGUUAGCGACAGAAGAAGCACCGGCUAACUCCGUGCCAGCAGCCGCGGUAAUACGGAGGGUGCGAGCGUUAAUCGGAAUUACUGGGCGUAAAGCGUGCGUAGGCGGAUGAUUAAGCGAGAUGUGAAAUCCCGGGCUCAAGCCUCA